AUAUACACUAAAAAAGAAUAUGCAAUUCAAUUAGAAUUCCAAUUGGCCAUCAGUAUAUGCAACAACUCACCUGUAAAUUGGAUCGACUGCACAUAUCCUAUAAAGGGCAUACAUGCAGUAAACAAAUACUACAGUGCACUGACUAAUAUCAACACAAACGCACUUAACUAAACUAGCGGCACUACUCGAUGUUUGGGACGCGGAGUCUUCUCAGCUACUUCUUCUUGUACCACUGGAUGAUAUACUGCAAAGAAAAACAAAAAAUAUUAAGUAUCAACACUUUUAUUUACAUUUGCAUAAUUAA